UACGAAGGGUGCAAGCGUUAAUCGGAAUUACUGGGCGUAAAGCGUGCGUAGGCGGCCUUGUAAGUCGGAUGUGAAAGCCCCGGGCUUAACCUGGGAAUGGCAUUCGAGACUGCGAGGCUAGAGUUUGGGAGAGGGUGGUGGAAUUCCCGGUGUAGCGGUGAAAUGCGUAGAGAUCGGGAGGAACAUCAGUGGCGAAGGCGGCCACCUGGCCUAAAACUGACGCUGAGGCACGAAAGCGUGGGGAGCAAACAGG
rnacentral:rRNA from 1 species